UCCACGCUGUAAACGAUGAGUACUAGCUGUUGGAUUCGGUGUAAAGGAUCUAGUGGCGCAGCUAACGCGUUAAGUACUCCGCCUGGGGACUACGGUCGCAAGACUAAAACUCAAAGGAAUUGACGGGGACCCGCACAAGCGGUGGAGCAUGUGGUUUAAUUCGACGCAACGCGAAGAACCUUACCUGCCCUUGACAUCUAGCGAACUUUCCAGAGAUGGAUCGGUGCCUUCGG
rnacentral:rRNA from 1 species